ACCGAAAUAGCUCAGUUGGGAGAGCGUUAGACUAUAGAUCGAAAAGUCCCUGGUUCGAUCUCAGGUUCAGGCA
rnacentral:tRNA from 1 species